rnacentral:rRNA from 1 species
CCUACGGGAGGCAGCAGUGAGGAAUAUUGGUCAAUGGACGAGAGUCUGAACCAGCCAAGUAGCGUGAAGGAUGACUGCCCUAUGGGUUGUAAACUUCUUUUAUAUGGGAAUAAAACAGGGUAUGCAUACCCUCUUGUAUGUACCAUAUGAAUAAGGAUCGGCUAACUCCGUGCCAGCAGCCGCGGUAAUACGGAGGAUCCGAGCGUUAUCCGGAUUUAUUGGGUUUAAAGGGAGCGUAGGUGGAUUGUUAAGUCAGUUGUGAAAGUUUGCGGCUCAAACGUAAAAUUGCAGUUGAAACUGGCAGUCGUGAGUACAGUAGAGGUGGGCGGAAUUCGUGGUGUAGCGGUGAAAUGCUUAGAGAUCACGAAGAACUCCGAUUGCGAAGGCAGCUCACUGGACUGCAACUGACACUGAUGCUCGAAAGUGUGGGUAUCAAACAGGAUUAGAGACCCCAGUAGUC